UAGGUCCCAGGUAUAGGGGAAACUCUGCCGGAUUUCCGGCAUGAAUUAGGCUGUCUAUUGCCUCUUUAGAGUUUUAUCUUAACUUAGUACUAAUAAAUUUAUAAUUUAAUUAUUAGGUGAUCGAGGUCAGCUAUUUUUCUGCAUCCAGCAGCCACAAUAGUCAUCGGUGUACUGCCACAGGAGGAGUUAUUUUACAGAGCAACCUGUUUUCUUCCUCGCAGGUUUAACGUCGGUUAUUUAAUUAUUUUACUAUCUUUUCUAAAUUUAAAAUCUAGAACUCCGCAUGUGUUAGUAAUAGUGUGGGCCUUGUUAGAAAUUGUGUUAAUUUAAAUUUUUGAGAUUAAUAAAUGAAGAUUUGUAUGGUAUUUAAA